UUGCAGUUAAAAAGCUCGUAGUUGGAUUUCUGAUUGUGGUUGGAUGUAUUGGCCGCGCUGCGGUCAGACACCAUACUACGAUCAAAACAUGUGAUGAUUGGGUGUGGUUGAUUCAUUUUGAUCCGCCCUUAAAUCGCUCGUUUACUUUGAGAAAAUUAGAGUGUUCAAAGCAGGCAUUGUGCUUGAAUAUGUUAGCAUGGAAUAAUAGCAUAGGACUUCAUGUUCUAUUUGUUGGUUGUUCGAGAACUAGAGUAAUGAUUGAUAGGGACGGUUGGGGGCAUCCGUAUUCUCAAGCGAGAGGUGAAAUUCUUGGACCUUGGGAAGACGAACAGCUGCGAAAGCGUUUGCCUAGGACGUUCUCUUUAAUCAAGAACGAAAGUUGGGGGAUCGAAGACGAUCAGAUACCGUCGUAGUCUCAACUAUAAACUAUGCCAGCUAGGGAUCGGUGGUACUUCGUCACGAGUCCAUCGGCACCUUACGAGAAAUCAAAGCAUUUGGGUUCCGGGGGGAGUAUGGUCGCAAGGCUGAAACUUAAAGGAAUUGACGGAAGGGCACCACCAGGAGUGGAGCCUGUGGCUUAAUUUGACUCAACAAC
rnacentral:rRNA from 1 species